GAUGAACGCUGGCGGCGUGCCUAAUACAUGCAAGUCGAGCGAACGGACGAGAAGCUUGCUUCUCUGAUGUUAGCGGCGGACGGGUGAGUAACACGUGGAUAACCCACCUAUAAGACUGGGAUAACUUCGGGAAACCGGAGCUAAUACCGGAUAAUAUUUUGAACCGCAUGGUUCAAAAGUGAAAGACGGUCUUGCUGUCACUUAUAGAUGGAUCCGCGCUGCAUUAGCUAGUUGGUAAGGUAACGGCUUACCAAGGCAACGAUGCAUAGCCGACCUGAGAGGGUGAUCGGCCACACUGGAACUGAGACACGGUCCAGACUCCUACGGGAGGCAGCAGUAGGGAAUCUUCCGCAAUGGGCGAAAGCCUGACGGAGCAACGCCGCAUGAGUGAUGAAGGUCUUCGGAUCGUAAAACUCUGUUAUUAGGGAAGAACAUAUGUGUAAGUAACUGUGCACAUCUUGACGGUACCUAAUCAGAAAGCCACGGCUGACUACGUGCCAGCAGCCGCGGUAAUACGUAGGUGGCAAGCGUUGUCCGGAAUUAUUGGGCGUAAAGCGCGCGUAGGCGGUUUUUUAAGUCUGAUGUGAAAGCCCACGGCUCAACCGUGGAGGGUCAUUGGAAACUGGAAAACUUGAGUGCAGAAGAGGAAAGUGGAAUUCCAUGUGUAGCGGUGAAAUGCGCAGAGAUAUGGAGGAACACCAGUGGCGAAGGCGACUUUCUGGUCUGUAACUGACGCUGAUGUGCGAAAGCGUGGGGAUCAAACAGGAUUAGAUACCCUGGUAGUCCACGCCGUAAACGAUGAGUGCUAAGUGUUAGGGGGUUUCCGCCCCUUAGUGCUGCAGCUAACGCAUUAAGCACUCCGCCUGGGGAGUACGACCGCAAGGUUGAAACUCAAAGGAAUUGACGGGGACCCGCACAAGCGGUGGAGCAUGUGGUUUAAUUCGAAGCAACGCGAAGAACCUUACCAAAUCUUGACAUCCUUUGACAACUCUAGAGAUAGAGCCUUCCCCUUCGGGGGACAAAGUGACAGGUGGUGCAUGGUUGUCGUCAGCUCGUGUCGUGAGAUGUUGGGUUAAGUCCCGCAACGAGCGCAACCCUUAAGCUUAGUUGCCAUCAUUAAGUUGGGCACUCUAAGUUGACUGCCGGUGACAAACCGGAGGAAGGUGGGGAUGACGUCAAAUCAUCAUGCCCCUUAUGAUUUGGGCUACACACGUGCUACAAUGGACAAUACAAAGGGCAGCGAAACCGCGAGGUCAAGCAAAUCCCAUAAAGUUGUUCUCAGUUCGGAUUGUAGUCUGCAACUCGACUACAUGAAGCUGGAAUCGCUAGUAAUCGUAGAUCAGCAUGCUACGGUGAAUACGUUCCCGGGUCU
rnacentral:rRNA from 1 species